rnacentral:rRNA from 1 species
UACGAAGGGGGCUAGCGUUGCUCGGAAUCACUGGGCGUAAAGCGUGCGCAGGCGGUUUUGUAAGCCAGAUGUGAAAUCCCCGGGCUUAACCUGGGAAUGGCAUUUGGGACUGCAAGGCUGGAGUGCGGCAGAGGAGACUGGAAUUCCUGGUGUAGCAGUGAAAUGCGUAGAUAUCAGGAGGAAUACCGAUGGCGAAGGCAGGUCUCUGGGCUGACACUGACGCUCAUGCACGAAAGCGUGGGGAGCAAACAGG